GGCGAACGGUGUGAGUAACACGUGAGUAAUCCACCCUCGGUACCGGGAUAGCCCGGGGAAACCCGGAUUAAUACCGGAUGGCCCGACAGUCCUUUCGAGGCGGUCGGAAAAGGUAGCUUCGGCCUCCGACCGAGGACGAGCUCUGCGGCGGAUUAGCUUGUUGGCGGGGUAAGCCGGCCCACCAGAUGGCGACCAGUCCGUAGCUGUCUGAGAGGACGAUCAGCCAAGAGCUGGGACUGGGCCAGGUCCAGACUCAUAGGGAGCAGAGGGGGAAUCUUGCGCAAUGGGCGAAAGCCUGACGCAGCGACGCCGCGUGCGGGAACGAAGGCCUUCGGGUUGUAAACCGGUUUCAGGAGGGACGAACGCCGACUCGGGUUAAAUAGCCCAGAGGGUGACGGUACCUCCAGAAGAAGCCCCGGUAACUACGUGCCAGCAGCCGCGG
rnacentral:rRNA from 1 species